rnacentral:rRNA from 1 species
UAGGGAAUCUUCGGCAAUGGACGAAAGUCUUACCGAGCAACGCCGCGUGAGUGAAGAAGGUUUUCGGAUCGUUAAACUCUGUUGUUAGAGAAGAACAAGGACGUUAGUAACUGAACGUCCCCUGACGGUAUCCAACCAGAAAGCCACGGCUAACUACGUGCCAGCAGCCGCGGUAAUACGUAGGUGGCAAGCGUUGUCCGGAUUUAUUGGGCGUAAAGCGAGCGCAGGCGGUUUCUUAAGUCGGAUGUGAAAGCCCCCGGCUCAACCGGGGAGGGUCAUUGGAAACUGGGAGACUUGAGUGCAGAAGAGGAGGGGGAAAUUACAUGUGUAGCGGUGAAAUGCGUAGAUAGAUGGAGGAAAACCAGUGGAUAGGGCGGCACUAUGGACUGUAACUGACGCUAAGGCUCAAAAGCGUGGGGAGCAAACAGG